GGAGUGAAAGAUAGAGAGAAAAAUUGUUCCUGUGCCCCUCCUUGUUAUCUUAUUACCCAUUACAGGAAGGAGACCAAGAAUGUAACCACAUCUGAAGAGACCCUUUUACAAGAAAAUGACCAUCUCUAAGUAUCAUUUAAAUUCCAGAGAGAAUGAUUUACAAGUUAAUUUCUGCUUCCCAAUCCAAUCAUUCUCUCUAAUUAUCAUUUCUUUUUCUUCAGUAGAAUUCCCCUUCUCCCCUUCCCAUAAGCUGUUUUCUCAGGAUAUCCCCAUUCUUCUUCUUCUUCUUUUUUUUUUUUUGUAGGACAGUAUCACCAAGCUGUAGUGCAGUGCAGUGAUCAUGAUUCAAUGCAGCCUCCCCUUCCCAGGCUUAGAAGGGGAUGAUCCUCCUACCUCAGCUUCCCAAGUAACUGGGACCACAGGCAAAUUCCUGUGUCUUAGUUUUCCAAACCCUCCACUGAUGAGCUCCUGCUACCUCCGGCUUCGUGUGGCAGCCUCCAAAGUCCAAGCCAUCACUCUGGUCUCUUCCCUGGUCCCCUUCACAAGAGAGACCACCCAACCUCUUCUGAGAAUUCGUAAAGCUGAAUGAUGCAUGAGUAUGUGCUGCAGGGUCAAACUCCCUGGGUUCGAACCCCAGUUCUGUCUCUUGCUGGCAGCGUGACAUUAGGCUGAUAACUACUCUCUAUGCUUCAGUAGCCUCAGCUGUAAAGCGGGAGAGAUGACGUCUGUGUCAUACAGUUGUCGUAAGGGGUAAGUGACUUAAUACGUGCAACGUGCUUACAACAUUCCUGGCAAUUGUGUCACAUAAUAAUAGAAAAUCAGGCAACGAGGACCUUUGUCACCUAUUUCUCUGCCGUAUCCUGGCUAGGUCACUAUGUGUCAUCUAACAGGAAUAUAACUAAUUUUAAUCAGUAUUUUAUAUAUUUCAAUUAUAUGGAAGUACAAACUUCAAAAAUAAUUGCUUUGCUUGCAGAAAGGCUCCUUUUUUUCCUUCCCCCAUCCAAAUUCUAUCCUGUUUUUCAAGAACCAGCUUAGGUCCCACUUCCAUGAAAAUUGAUUCCUGUUGCUUCAGUCUACAUCAAACUCUCAUUUCUGGAAAUGUUUUCAUAGCAGGUUCACGCCAUAGAAGUUGGCAUUGAAUGACUCUGGUGUUCUGUGGAGUCUCUAAGUGUCUCCUCAGUAAAUAGUUUGCCACUUCUCAGACUGAGUUCUGAAAAAAAUGAACUAUAACAGGUAGUUGAUGCCCAGAACGCAGGUUAUUACCUUUAUUAUUGCUGGAGCCAAAUUGUAGGCUAUACUAUAAAGUAAGGGCCAAAUGUACUUCCUAACUCCAUUUGAAAAU
rnacentral:lncRNA from 1 species